GUUUUAAUGAUACCAAGCUCUGGUAAAUUCGAAAGUCAACCGCAAAGCCGAUAUCGGUAAAAUCUCGCUGCUUUUCUCAACAGUGUCAAGCUUCCUGACCCGCUCCACCGUGCUUGUCUUCCAAGAAUUUUGGCGACGUCUGCGGUGGCCUACGCUGUAAAGCUGCAGGAUGCACCAGAUUCCCGUCAGAUGCGCAAUGCACAGUCCGUACCUGACUGCAUUCCUGCGUGCUCGAUCUGCACCCGUCUGCGGAGCCGGCCGUGCUCUGUCCGUACCUGCGCGCGGGGCCGACAGUGGUCGGUCCCUACCUGAAUGCAAGGUCAUUCGCGUGUGUCGAGCCACGGUUUCGUUAGUCGUUAGUUUUGUUAGUUUCGUGUCGAGCCACGGUUUUGCUGCGUUCUUGGGACGUUUAUAUGCGUUGCUACGCUUAACCCCAAAGUAGCAUGCGGGUAGAAGUAUGGAGGAGCGGAACAUGUGUAUUUGUGACAAAGCUAUUUGCACACUGAAAAACGUUAACUCUACAACUGAUGAAUCUCUGUGGGUUUCAUACGGAUGCCAGCGUGUUUCAACAAUUACAUU